UCAUAGAGUGACAGAAUAAAGGUCAAAUUAUGAAAAUCUUGAUUAACGGUUAUUUAUUACAGCUGGAAAUAAUUUUAUCUUCUUAGAUCCUUUGGCAGGUUAUAAAUAGUGGAAUAAUAAAUAACAUACAUAGAUGUAAGGUGAAGAAAGACUGUCCUCACAAUGAUUGAACCAAUCAAUAUUAUCAUCUUCCACCUAUGUCUUUACAUUUUUAGAGUAGUGAUGCCUUCUUCGUAUGUGGGGGUUAUGUUUUACUUUAUGUUUUUUUACGAGAUGAUUCUAAUUUGUAUAGCAGUUUACAUGUACGUACAGGAAGAGGAGGACGAUGGUUAAGAUCAGUUUGUGCCCUUGGUCCGCGGACGACAAUCAACAAUCACCGACUAUUUACAUUAUUUUUUAAAUUAAAAGUUAAAUAAUGCAACUCGUA